rnacentral:lncRNA from 1 species
CACAAUGCUCAUCAUGACAUCAUAGCGUUUCCUAGGAGGACCAGGUCUAUGCCUGUGUACUUGCACACUCAUUUGUGAGUUGGAUCAUGGAUCAUGGCAGGUUUGGGAACAAAACUCGUGUGGCUGAGGUCAAAGAAAUUAUUAUGUCUGCGCAUUCUUGGCAGAUGCUUGGGGAGCUGUGCAGAGCUUUCUUCUUUUGCAAAGCAAAGCGAAGGCGUGGCCCAGUUUCUACUUCUAUGCACAUCUACUGAAGACAGUGCAGAGCUCAUCUUGCUUCCACACCACAUCCAGGUGCAGUUCAAUGGUUCUGGCUGUGCAUCACCUAAAUAAAACCAAAGGCACAGUUUGGCUUGAUGCCUGCAGCCUACAAUUAAAAUAAGUGACAUGAAGGUGUCUUUAAAACAGAGAUCCAUGGAAAAUGAAAGGAUUGUCUGUCAAAGGGUGAGAAAUGAAAAAUAGCCGUCUCAGAUCUCUGAAUGGAUGAGUGAGGAAAAUUCCUGUCCGUCCCAGUACCCAAAGGGAUAAAACCCAAUGAUAGCU